rnacentral:rRNA from 1 species
AAGAGCAUGUGGUGGAUGCCUUGGCAAUGAUAGGCGACGAAGGACGUGAAAGCCUGCGAUAAGCUUCGGGGAGCUGGCAAAUAAGCUUUGAUCCGGAGAUUUCCGAAUGGGGAAACCCACCUGCAAAGGUAUCGCAUACUGAAUACAU